ACAGCAGUUGGACAUCCAUGCGGGCAUACCAUCUCUGGCUCGGUCUUCUCGUUGGCGUUCAGGUCGGCAUCGCGUUCAGGGUCGGUCUUGGAGUAAAGACCGCAAUGUUUGCAGGGUUGAUGUGGAGCAGAGUCCCGCUUGCCCCAUUCGGGGUGGUGGUAAGACUAAGAGAACGCAGGUGCGCUUCUAAUUCUUGUAGGCUCCGUGCCUUGUAGGUAGUCC